rnacentral:rRNA from 1 species
GACGAACCGUCCAAACGUUAUUCGGAAUUACUGGGCUUAAAGGGUGCGUAGGCGGCUCUGCAAGUUGGGUGUGAAAUCCCUCGGCUCAACCGAGGAAUGGCGCCCAAAACUGUGGAGCUCGAGGGAGACAGAGGUGAGUGGAACUUGUGGUGGAGCGGUGAAAUGCGUAGAUAUCAGGAGGAACACCGAUGGCGAAGGCAGGUCUCUGGGCCACUACUGACGCUGAGAAGCGAAAGCAUGGGGAGCGAACAGGAUUAGAUA